rnacentral:misc_RNA from 1 species
UGUCCUUUGAUAAAAUCUACAACUUCUCGAACAAUUUUAUUUUUCACCUCAAAAAAAUCCGAUGUGUCAACUAACGACGUCAAAGAAAACAGCAGUCUCAAAAUUGGUGUUAUGAUACUUUGUCGCUUGUUAAUAUUCCCUGCUACAUCUCUAUGAGGCUUCAUAUCAACCCACCUCAAUCCUCCCUGUAAAUUGACUACCCUGCAUGAUGCAAGGUGCUCCAAAGCGCCCAUGGAAAAGAGAAGCUGGGCCCCAAAUUUUCCAUACUUGUGGCUAAUUCUUGACAGUAAGCCAAGUUCAGCCUCAAGAGUGCAAGCUCGUUG